UUUAUGUUUAGACCACCAAGGGAAACAAGCCAUGCAAAUCAGGGCAACAUUAGGCGACCAAAUGUAAAGCUUAACAAAAAGGGGCGUAAGAGAUACGUAGGAAAUAUUCCUUACGGAAGAUCACCCAGUACUUAUUACAAUCGAGAGACACACACUCUGUCACAUAGUUUACCCCUUCGAACCUCAGGGAUAUCAUUAAUC